rnacentral:sRNA from 1 species
UCCGUCGUUAAACAGGAUCAUGUUCCUACGAAAUUCUCUGUCUCCGACUUCUU